AGCUUGGGCAGUGGCAGUAUCAUAGCCAAUGAGGUUUAUCUGAGGCACAAUUAUUAUUGCUAAUUGAAAACCUUCCCAAUACCCUGCCAUGAUGCCUUGGAAUAUAAUCGGCAUUGGCAAUUUUUGACAGUUGCUAAGGAGA